rnacentral:rRNA from 1 species
GAUGAACGCUAGCGGCAGGCCUAACACAUGCAAGUCGAGGGGCAGCACGUCUUCGGAUGGUGGCGACCGGCGCACGGGUGCGUAACGCGUAUGCAACCUACCUCUUACAGUGGGAUAGCCCAGAGAAAUUUGGAUUAAUACCGCAUAGUAUACAGAUUCAGCAUUGGGACUGUAUUAAACAUUUAUGGGUAAGAGAUGGGCAUGCGUUCUAUUAGUUAGUUGGAGUGGUAACGGCACCCCAGACAGCGAUAGAUAGGGCCCGUGAGAGGGGGAGUCCCCCACCACUGGUACUGAGACACGGACCAGACUCCUACGGGAGGCAGCAGUGAGGAAUAUUGGACAAUGGGCGAGAGCCUGAUCCAGCCAUGCCGCGUGCAGGAAGACGGCCC